GUGAUAAACUUGACCAGCGCGCGCAUUGAUCUAGGAUACGCUUUAUCUUGGAAGUUACAGAAACUUCCAAAGAGCAGCCAGGGGACCGAGGAGCCCCGAGCUGGGCUCUCCGUUGCGCCUGGUAUACACAGUGCUGCCUCCGCUUCUCGGAGUUUAUGAUGUUUAUGAAGAUCCCCAACAGCUGGCUUCAAACCCAGCCCCUCCGAGAACCGUUUCCAGGACUCUGAAGCCCGCAUUUCAGCUUCAGGAACGGCGAGACAGCUGGCUGUCCGUGUCGGUUUGGGUGGAAUCGGUGUAGAGGUGGUGGUACCCAAACCAGCUCAGUGCCGGUGAUUUCCAACCAGCAUCUUUUGAAGGCACACUGUGUGCAUCGCCAUCAAGCGCUGAGCAACAGCAGCUGCGGAUGCUCGUCGGCGAGAGCUGGAGGAGGAUCAGCUCUAAGUUGUAAUCUCAGGGUGGACAUUGACAUCAUCCUCUUGGACGGGAGCAGGUAGAGGAGAUGCCUGCUUUCAUUCCUCUUGGACAAUGCUUAGGGGUGCAAUUGCUGGCCAUAUGGGUUUGACUUAUUCUUUCCCUAAGUCAAUCUUGGCCAGUGAUAUUGGGGCAGAGCAGAGAUAGCAGCAGUAGGAUUGUGUGAGCCGCCAGGCCUGAAGCCCGCAGCAUUUUACCUGUGCAACGCGAAAGGCUGAGCCUGGAUGGAGAAGAGAAGGAGGCGCCGCUCUGCGGAAUGCUCUCCGCGGCGCAUGCUCGGCGAGAUUUCGUGCCGGAGAACACAAACUACUCCGUUAAUUAAAUAGCAAAGGUCGAUGGAGCACCAUGGACAUUCUCUGAAGGCUGCUAGCCAGGAGACUCAAGAAGAAAUUGUUAAAAAGGAGAACUAUCCAAACAUUGUCCUCUCCCUUUGCAGCCUCAACAGGAAAGAAAACUCAUAGAUGAGUCAGAAAUGCUCAGUGGAUAAUGGACCUCUUCCCUCACUCCACGUGCUCGGGUUGCGGCAACUUCAGGGGGCCGGCCUAUGUGUGGGCGAAUGAGGAGGAGGAGUCUAACCAGGACCAGAAGGUAGAGACCUCGAGAAGCCAAGCACUGUGAAAAACUAGGUCCCCGUCACUAUGCUCAUGACAAAGCCACUUCGCAGGGGAAAGGAGGAUGUGGAUGAUGUUGGAUGUUCUUCUUCCCCAAUCAGAAAGGUUCACAGCAGCUAAAGAGGAGGACACUGGUGGGAAAGGUUGAUGCUACUCUUACACUUUAAUGAGCUAUGUACAUGCCCACUAAGCUAAGGCCUUUGAAGAUAAAGGGAACGUUGGAUGUUCUUUUGUUUUGCAACACCCAUGUAAUGCCCAGGACAUCCUAAGUGGACAGUGGAUGUAAGAUGAACAACAGGUUAUAUGAGUUAUUACCAAUACACCUACCUGCUUGAAAUACAUGUUGGAAAGUGUUAAGAAAAAUGACAUUGUCUUGUUUCUUUAAAAAAUAUUGAAAUAGACAUAACACUGUUUAAUCCGAAAAAGAAGAUGGCAAUAAAUAUAGAAACAAGUCAUCGGGAGGAACAACCACGUGUAUUAAGAAGAUAUGGGGAUCCCUUUGCCUCAUCUUAUGGAAAUACAUUUGAAAUCUUGACUACCAAGCAUAAUACUCUAGAAAAUAUCUAUAAUGCAACAAAAGAGGCUAAGAAACUUAUCAAAAGCUAUCUGAAGGAAACAUCAACAUCACUUUAUUUCAGAAGUAAGUUUUAUGAACUAUCUACGGAAUGCAAUUUAAAUUUUUUGAAAGCAUAAGGAAUGUGAACGUUUCUAAGGGGUUUUUACAAAUACAGAACAUUAGUACCAAACUUAAUAAAGGCAACACAAUAAAAUGAAACUACAGAUGGAUUUCUCUAACAGAUAUUGAUGCAAAAUCCCUAAAAUGUGUUAGCAGAUAGAAUUCAGCAGCUUAUUAAAAGAUUGAGAGAUACUAUUCAGGAGUAAUCCAUUGAAAAAAUUCAAAAUUUCAGUGUGUUUUUCCAUAUUAAUUACAGGUCAAGGCAGAGAAGCAUUAUGUUUGACGAUGUUGACAAGGUGCUUGAAAAAAGCCAGUAUCAUUCUUGAAAAACAAGUUUGAUAAAUAUGGAUGCAUUGAUAUUUAAUUAGCAACAUGGCAAUAGUGAAAUACAAAAAUGUUCCUAUUAAGAAAUAGAACAAGGAGUUCCUGUUGUGGUGCAGUGGAAACAAAUCCAACUAGGAACCAUGAGGUUGAGGAGGGUUCGAUCCCUGGCCUCGCUCAGUGGGUUAAGGAUCCUGCAUUGCCCUGAGCUAUGGUGUAGGUCAUGGAUUCAGCCCAGAUCUGGCAUGGCUGUGGCCAUGGCAUAGGCUGGUGGCUGUAGCUAUGAUUGGACCCCUAGCCUGGGAACCCCCAUAUGCUGAAGAUGUGGGCCUAAAAAGCAACAAAAAAAA
rnacentral:lncRNA from 1 species